GUAAGGAAUAUUGGUCAAUGGAGGCAACUCUGAACCAGCCAUGCCGCGUGCAGGAAGACGGCCCUCUGGGUUGUAAACUGCUUUUAUCCGGGAAUAAACCUGCCUUCGUGAAGGUAGCUGAAUGUACCGGAAGAAUAAGGAUCGGCUAACUCCGUGCCAGCAGCCGCGGUAAUACGGAGGAUCCAAGCGUUAUCCGGAUUUAUUGGGUUUAACGGGUGCGUAGGCGGCCUGUUAAGUCAGGGGUGAAAGACGGUGGCUCAACCAUCGCAGUGCCCUUGAUACUGAUGGGCUUGAAUGGACUAGAGGUAGGCAGAAUGUGACAAGUAGCGGUGAAAUGCAUAGAUAUGUCACAGAACACCGAUUGCGAAGGCAGCUUACUAUGGUCCUAUUGACGCUGAGGCACGAAAGCGUGGGGAUCGAACAGGAUUAGAUACCCCAGUAGUCC
rnacentral:rRNA from 1 species